CCUGUGCGUCACCCAGGAAGCUGAUGUGGUUAUUCCCUACAGAAGCACAGGCUUUCCUGAAGUCCUGUGACACAGAAGGUCAGUGAACUGUAAAUCUAAAGACUAGCAUCGACAUGACAUGUAUCCAUAAGAGCCACUCCACUUAAAACGCACCAAUACUCAGAUGUAAACAUGCAAACAAACAUGCACCAAUAGUCAUAGUCAAGUACAGUUACUGAGCACUCCAGCGGCAGUGGACUCUCAGAGAAGCACAACAGCCUGCUUUAUUUUCAUGUACUCAUCCUUGUCCCCAUAUUUACUUGUAUGUCUGUCCUCAAGUGGCCUUGUGGUGGUCUGAUCCUCAGACUGUGAGUCAGUGUGACAGUGUCCUGUGGAUUCUCACAUAAUAAGAUUUCAGGCAGGAUGUGGCUAAUCCCCUUUUCCUGGCAUAAACAUCGUGAUAUGGCUAGUUUCCUACCUGCUGAGUAGAGCAGCAUCCACUGUCAGCUGUGUUUGACCAAAGCCGCUGGCACUAACAGAGUGUGAAAAAGAAAGUCACUGUCUAUCAAGGUUAAAUAAUCAAAUCCAAAAUUAUACCUCAAGAGUUUAUGUGUGUGUAAUAUGCAUUUGUCUGACAUUGUUGUUCUUAUUUCUGUAUCUCUGCAUGGAUGAGGGUCUGCUGAUUUAGAUCAGUGUAGAGGAAAAUGGCAGCCCAGCUCAGCUGUUCUGCUCCGUUUCACCAAACGACAUUGUCAGAUUGGAGGAUGAACCCUGCUUUGAGUGCCACAAAAGCUAAACUGAGUGCCGACCUGAGGCUUCCAUCCAUAAUAAUUUUAACAUCAUCAUUUCACUUCAUUACCUUUCCUGGCAGCACACAGGAGGAUCUCUGUCCAUUCAUGCCUUCACAGAUAACAACUUUUUUUGUUUUUGUUUACACAUAUGAGGUGAUGUAUGGCAGCAGUAUCAUCUCUUUGGAUGUAAAUCAUGACAUAGGCUUCAUCACAGGACUACCAGCAUUAGUGAUGAUAAAAGAGUGAUGUAGGCAGAUUAUUUCAGCAACCAUAGCGUGAGUAAGUGUCAAGCUUUCAUCCGGUGGGGUUAGCACACGUGAGGCGAAAGUCCUACUUCAGAAUGAAACUGUGACAUAGCGCUGAGUACGGCAGGCUAUUCAUGCACAUAGACUUCCUUUCUCACUCUCUUUCAGUCACCUUUUACACAGACCACACAAACACCUUCUUUAGCAAAGUACUUAUAAAACAUGCUACCCAGCAACCCCCCUGGACUCUCAUUUGAGUGUUGCAGUGGUGAGUGGCUGAAGAAGCACACACAUUAUCGCAUACCAUAUGUGCUUCUGCUUUCUGUUCCCUCCUCUCAGUCUGGAGCUACUCAAAGUUGCACCAAGCCAUGAGUGAGUGAAUAAAUAACAAGAUGAGCAUAAAAGUUUAAAAAAGGAGGUGAGUGACACAUGGAUGGAUGCGUGAGCAAAGGUCCUGUGGACCAUUGGGCUUUAUUCUCCAUCGUUCAUGUGAUUUAUGAAACUGUCUCGUUCCGUGUCAAAAUUUAACCAGAUACUUAAAGUUUAAUGUCAUAUGUGAAUUUCAAGACGAGGCAUUAAAAUUUAAGAUGUUAUCUGAGAAAAAAAUGUACCAUUGAGAAUGCAUCUGGAAUAUAGGUCCCAGAUAGAGCUGGGAUGUACUUGUAAAACACAUACUCGAGCUCAGAUUGAAUUUUAUUUCAUGCAAGAAAGCUGAAUCAUGCAACCAUACGAAGACACUGCACUGAUUUAAAUUGUGUUAGGGAAUAGAUUAUAUGUACUUUAUAUUCUGAAUUUAAAGAUUACAAUUUACCCUUUCCUCUUGAGUUCCAUGUUAACAAUGCACUAUAAUAUUUUUGGCUGGAACUGUCUAUUGCAAGUUCUACUUUAGACAUUUUCUUGACACAAACCCUGGUCUGUUUAAUAUACAACAAAUACAUGACUGCAGCUCCUCCUUUGCACAACAUGGGUGUUAUACAGAAAAAAGCAGCAGGCCCUUCUGUCACUGACCAAUCUGCUGCGUAUGUGUUUGUGCAUGUGUGUGUGUAUGAGCUGACAUUUCACUGAGUUUUGUGGUGAAUGUUAAACAGAAAGCGUAAAAGAGAUGUAGUACGCUCCAUAUCUGUGUCGGAGUGUGCAGCACAUGCUUGCAUUUGUCCCCCUGUCCGCACACUUGUCUCAUAAUGUUCUAAUUGGUGCUGGAUGAGAUUUGGCUGGCGUUGCCUCAAUGUGUCCAAUAUGGGCCCAGCCUGGACUCACUGUGUCAGUGAGCUGCUAAUGUGUUGAGCAGACUAUGGCACAGUCUGCUGCUCUGCACCUCCUGCAGUCUCCCACAGGAAGUUGGAGAAAGGAGCCAGAUGGGGAGGCCGCUGCGGGGCUUUAUUUGUGGAUAACUGCAGGUUGUUUGUGUAUGUGGUGGGAUGAGCACACAUGUACACAAUUAAGGCAUCAAUGCAAUUACAAAGCGGCACGAAAUGAUGGCUGAAUGUUACUGAUAAAUACAGCCGAUAAUAGAGUUCUUAUAUUUUACUGGUUUAUUGUUUUCAACGUAAAAGAUACCAGAUGCUUUUUCUGUUUGUUUCCUCCUGACACUCAGAGUGGCAGGGUGACACACUCUGACCAGUAAAGCUCUCCUACUUUCGCCAUGGAUAUGGGCCUGUUUUUCACUUUCUUUUUCAGAGGGCAAGUGGGGGAGUUUGCAGCUGCCACUUCGAAUGCACAUAUGGGCAGAGUGGUGGUGAGAUGGGGGUGGGGACGGCGAGCACAUGGUCCCCUCAGUCACUCUUUUACAGUGGAAGAAAACAAGCAGCUUUGUGCGUGCACAAGUUUGGGAUUUGAGAUAAGGGGCCAAUUUUGACAAAAGAGACUAAACAGGAGUCGAAUCAGAGAUUUGAUUGAUACAGCAGAAGACAUCAUAAACGUAUUAAGGCUGCAGAAGCAUACUGGCAUUGUGAAAGUUCUCUUUUUUUAUCUCAUAUUCGCAAAGCAGUGUCAGAAAUGUGUUGGAUAAAUGCCAUUCUUUAUUAUUUCUAAUUACGAAGCUAACUUCUGGUAUCAAAUAUAUGCUUAAUUCUCAUACUCACAAAACAAAGCUUGCAAGAAAGAAAUAAAAGUCUGUUUAUCCGUCUCAUUUUUAAACAGAAAGUGACCCUAAGUGGCUGAUGUUAACAGAAACACAGAGAGGCUUUUUGAUCAUUUUUAAUACAUGUAUAAAAUUGUUUAUUUUGAAAUAGCUGGAUCCAAGAAAACUAUCAUGGUUGGUACAAAUGUGUCAUUUAUGCAGAUCAGUUCAUUUAUCCUUGUUAGUUCGAAGAGAAAAUAGAUUUAGAUUUGAUAAUUUCACUACUUCACUCACUCACUAUCUACAGUGGUAAGUAUAAAUGUAUUUAUUUGCAUUUCUUUACCUGUAGAUAGACACGAAAAUAAACAAACAUUUACUGAAAACCAUUAAAAUGACUAUAAAUGUCCACCAAUCAUCUACAUUCUAUAUUGUUGUUGCUUGUCUUGUUUUUUGAAGCAAACCUGUCCAGAUGGGCUCUGCAGGGAAUUAAGUGCACUCAGGCACAAGCUGAAUGACAACUGAUACUCCAAAGACAGACUACUGUUACAACUAAUGGACUGCAUCAAUAAGAGAAAGCUACAUACAGCCUGAGGUUUAAAAAAAGAUUUUACAGAUUCAAGUUAAUAAGCCUAAUUCACUUGGCACCCAUUCAGAUAUAUAACACUCCCAACUUCCCAUUUUAUAUGACAAGCCAAUUUCACUUGUUCUGCAGGAUUAAUAUUUGGAGAUAAAAGGCCAAGAGUAUAAAAGAGGGAGAGUGAAGGAUGAAGACCUUCCACUAUAUGAAAAUGCACCACGUGGCUCAGCGCCCGUGUUGGAGGUUGAUGAUCAGAUGAUAUCACUCUGGCACCGACGGUCUGGGCGGUUCCUUUUCCCGUCUGGGGUUGCCACGAGAGAUGGACAGCAGUUCCCUGGGGGCCAAUAAAAUGGGUUUGUCAUUAGAGGCACUUCCUGUAAAAAGUUACUUACAAAUAUCAGACUCAUAAAACACACGUGGACUUGAGCCUGUGUGAGCGCAUGUGUGUGGGAGAGAAAGCCAUAAAAACACAGAUAAGCAAACAAUUCCACUCUAAUCCACACAUGGGUUAAUCCUCAUAACAUUUAGUAUGAUUAUAAACACACAAGGAUAAAUACUCUCUGCAUAUUCCUCUUCACCAGCGCCCGCGACCUCAAUACCCAUUAGUCAAAUUUUACCACUUCACUAAAAGAGGAAGCUUGUUUUUUUAUUGCCAGCAGCUACUGUGCAUUGGUUUGCUGCAUCAGAUGAUGAGUCACAGCCCAAAUGAGGUUAUCCCAUCCAUCCAUCCGGACACACAGGCUGACACCAGAAGCUACUCAUGGCUGCCCAACCUAUUUGUGCAACAGCUGAGACAUCAUAAAAGGUCCUCUGAAUGCAUGACAUCACCCUGCUGCUGAUAUAUUUAUCACACAGCAGUGCAAAUUAAAGCCUCACACUAAAUUUAUCUAGAAUGUUCUUCAUUUCUCAUCAUUACCUCAUUAAAAGAUAAUUAAAAUAAUCUUUUUUGCUUCUAUCUCUGCAUCUUUGUGUCCCUUCCUCACCUCUCUCCAACCCCCUCAGGUCAUGGCAACAUGUGCGUCGCAAUCUGCUGCCAGCCCUGGUGCUCUGCUGUCUCCCCCAGGCCUCUCCAUCACCCUCCACCCUCCACCUUCCCCAUGUGCUUUUAGGCCCCCUCUGUUUAAUUCAUGAGCUUCCUGUGGCUCCUGUCAUGUCUCAUCUGGGCCACAGGAAGGCAGAGUGUAAAUAAUGGAGCAUCCCCAAAGACAUGUUCAACGCUGACUGUCACAGCAGCGCACCAUGUGCUCCCACGGAGAGGACAGGACAACAGUCUGUGGCUCUAAGCCUCCUGAACGCAUAUGUCAUGCUCAGAACGUAAUUUCACCACAUAUGGCGAAGAGAAAGCGUGGUCAUGGCAGGGCUGCUGGCACAUACACUGUGUUAAUGUGUUAUGUUUCUCCCCUCAGAUUUUAUUUUACUGAACACACAUAAAUGUUUGGAGAUGGAAGAAUUUAAAUAGUCUGUUAUUCUGCUUCUAAUAAAUAUUUACUAUAGAGUCCUUGUUGUGUUGGUAAAAAGCGAAGGAGGCAAUUACCCUUGAAUCUUAAUAUUUCAUAUAACCAUUUUAAUUGACAGCUGAAAGUAUAUAAAGACAGAUGACACAUCCUCAAUCAUGACAUUUUCCAAAAGUAAAACUAAGACACUCCUAUGACAGGUGCUGACAUAAUGAACUGGUGAUGAUGUGCUGUUCAACAGUAGCUACGUUGACAUGGGCCAAAUUUCUUGAUCCGAUUAAAAAUUUGAGGGAUCGGAUGAUCUGAAUCCACUGUUUAUAUGGGUGCAA